rnacentral:siRNA from 1 species
CACACUCGACCGUUUCUGCGCCGC